UACGUAGGGUGCGAGCGUUAAUCGGAAUUACUGGGCGUAAAGCGUGCGCAGGCGGUUCGUUAAGUCAGAUGUGAAAGCCCCGGGCUCAACCUGGGAACUGCAUUUGAAACUGGCGGGCUUGAGUACGGCAGAGGGGGGUGGAAUUCCGCGUGUAGCAGUGAAAUGCGUAGAGAUGCGGAGGAACACCGAUGGCGAAGGCAGCCCCCUGGGCCAAUACUGACGCUCAGGCACGAAAGCGUGGGGAGCAAACAGG
rnacentral:rRNA from 1 species